rnacentral:rRNA from 1 species
UACGUAGGGGGCGAGCGUUAUCCGGAUUUACUGGGCGUAAAGAGGGCGUAGGCGGCUUUUCAAGUUGGAUGUAAAAUCUCUCGGCUUAACUGGGAGGGAUCAUCCAAUACUGUUGAGCUAGAGUACAGCAGAGGGAGGUGGAAUUCCCGGUGUAGUGGUGGAAUGCGUAGAUAUCGGGAGGAACACCAGUGGCGAAGGCGGCCUCCUGGGCUGCCACUGACGCUGAGGCCCGAAGGCGUGGGGAGCAAACAGG